GGCGAGAUAGCUCAGUUGGUAGAGCGAAGGACUGAAAAUCCUUGCGUCCCCGGUUCGAUUCCGGGUCUCGCCACCA
rnacentral:tRNA from 1 species